GACGAACGCUGGCGGCGUGCUUAACACAUGCAAGUCGAGCGGUAAGGCUCCUUCGGGAGUACACGAGCGGCGAACGGGUGAGUAACACGUGAGCAAUCUGCCCUUCACUUUGGGAUAACUCCGGGAAACCGGUGCUAAUACCGAAUGCGACCACUUCAGGCAUCUGACGGUUGGUGGAAAGUUCCGGCGGUGAAGGAUGAGCUCGCGGCCUAUCAGCUUGUUGGUGAGGUAAUGGCUCACCAAGGCUUCGACGGGUAGCCGGCCUGAGAGGGUGACCGGCCACACUGGGACUGAGACACGGCCCAGACUCCUACGGGAGGCAGCAGUGGGGAAUAUUGGACAAUGGGCGAAAGCCUGAUCCAGCAACGCCGCGUGA
rnacentral:rRNA from 1 species